GUGAAUCAUCAAAUCUUUGAACGCAAAUUGCACUCUCUUCUGAGAGGAUGCCUGUUUGAGGGUCAGCCUAAAAAAAAAUCGACAUAGUCGCUGUUUCGCGGUUACAUUCUUCGGUAAUUGGGUCAUCUUAAACCUUUGGGUUUUAAGCAGCUUAAAAUUUUCUUUUUGGUUCCAUGAUCGUUUCUAAGAUUUAUUUCUUUACACGUUUAUGAUAUCGAUUUUUUUUAGACGUGACCAUCAUAUCGGAUCUCAUCC
rnacentral:misc_RNA from 1 species